rnacentral:lncRNA from 1 species
UGGCAGCAGCACUUUGAUUUCUGGUCACACUUUACUUCCCCCUCUCCAGGGUGAUGGUGAAGCACAGGCUGUGCUGCUUUGCUCCAUUUGGGGUUGUGAGCAUGCCCUAAAGGUUUGUGGACAUGCAAAGGGUGAUAAUUUCAGUUGAGUGAUUUACCUGGAGAUGCUGGACCAGGAACUGGCCCCAGCUGAGAAACCAGCAGCAUCUUCAGCUCAGAACCCAAACUUCCAGGUUUUAUUAGGCAUCUAUCAGCAAUAAGUGAACAAAAAACACAGAGAAAGUGCAACAUAGCUCCUAUAUUUUCUAGAAAAACCAACUGCUGCUUAAUGAAGGCCAGGCUAAUUGAGGCCAAUUAAAUUAAUCAGGCAAGUGAACCAGCCACACCCAUUCUGAGGAGCAUGGGUGCCAUCACAGGCAAUUACUGUGAUUAAUCCUCUCAUUGUCAUCCCCACAGCCAGCACCUGGCCAAGAAGUUGGGGAGUUACCUAACUGUGCUCAGGAGGAUGCUGCAGGCAAAGGUGGUGCUUCCAGAGUUUUAAAAACCUGUUGCAAGAAGGAAGCUCACAAAUGUGGCUGCCCCAUCCCUGGAAGUGUUCAAGGCCAGCUUGGAGGGGAUAAAAACUGUACUAAGCUGUUUCUCCCCAUGCUGAUGCCACACACAAAUUAUGUUGUGAAGAAGUUUCCUGAAACCUCUAGAACUGGGCUCCUGCAGAGUAAGUAAAACAUGAUUUUUUUUAAAAGCAAUACUGUUCAUGGAUGAAGCUAUUGAUUUGUAACAGUUUAUUUUUAUGUAACAGUCACCUGUGUUUGCAUUAGGGGAACCUGUUUGUUCUGGGAUGAAAUGAAAGCCCUAAAAACAGGGUCAUUUUCUGCUUGGAGUUCUGUGACACCUCGUGGCACCUGCUUUUGGGCAGGAUUAGUUUGCCUAUGGAGCAAUUCCUUUGGACUCUGGCAAGCUCCAGUGUUGGUUUUAGGGGGCAGAUAAGGAUAAUCUGGCCAUCACUUUGUCUCCUGACCCUGUGAGUCCCCUUUGUCUGCCCCUUCACCUAAUGGGACAGGUUUCAAUGGCAAAACCAGCUCUGUUAAAGCCUCUGGGCUGACCUCAAGACAGUUUUGACCUAAAAUCCACUGCUGAUGUCAACCCAAAACCCACCAGAGCAUCGGAUGGAGCUGUGGGUUGGAAAAGCUGCUGCAAGGUGCUCAUUACACCCCAGGAUGAGCCAUGAAUGGGCACAAAAUGGACUUUAAGAAAAUUGUAAUAUGCUUCCACGAAGUUUUCACAACAAUUUUGUUCUCAGCUGCUUCCUCAGACAGUCUGGAGGCUGAGUUUUAGUGGCCAGGCAAAUCUUUGACAGGAAAAUCUCCUUUCCUUUAGUGUUUGUUCCCAGGAUGAGGAGAAGCAGCAGCAUUGAUCCAGAGAUUGUAAAGGCUAAUAAAGAAAUCCAU